rnacentral:rRNA from 1 species
AUGCUCCGGCCGGCGACCCCUCUCUCUGUGGCUGCGCCCACGCUCCCUACCAUCUCCCGCCUCGGCCGUGGCGCGGCUCCGCCUCUCAGGGGCAGAAGGUCGGGCACCACCGUGCGCGCGCGCAUGCCGCUGGAGCAGCAGCAGGUAACGCUGCCGUCGCUGGCGCACCGGGAGGUAGCGCGAGCGCUGGCAGCCGAGGCGGCAGCAGCCGUGCCGCUGCUGCCGUCGGCUGUGCCCGUCGACGUAGCCGACUUCCGGAACAGCGCUGGGACCGCCGUCGGCACGCUGGACGUGCGCCGAGGCGAGCCUGCCUCGUCGAUUGAUUUCAUGCUGCACUCGUCACUUCACUGCAAAGUCCCAAAUGGCGCAAUCGACAUUACGUCGGUCCUUAUUUUCCUAAAUGCCUUGACGGAUGCACCACAUUUCCUCAUGGAGUUCAUACAAGGCAGCCCAACUUCAAUGGUUGUGAUUCUUGAUCUGCUCCCACGGAAAGACCUCGCGCUCCACCCGGAGUACCUCCAAAAGUACUAUGAACAUACUCACUUGGACAAGCAACGUGAGAAGAUCGAAGAAUUGCCACAAACCCGUCCAUACCGGUCGCCAUCGCUCUUUGUGUGCAGUGCAUGUUCUCCAACAGCGGUGUCGGUCACCAUCGAUUGCGGGCAAGGAGGGGAGGGUACCUUGGAAGAGAUAGUGUGUGGUCAUCUGGCAUCAGCUGUGAAGGAGGUUCUUCAAAUCUGGCUUCAUAGUUGUGCUCGUGACACCUCCGAAAUGGAAGAGGCCGAGAGGGAGAUCAUGAUCAAAAGGGACCAAGCUGUAAGAUCGAAAUCAAUCGAGGUCGACCUAACUGCAAAUUUGCCUAGGAUGUUUGGUCCCGAUGUGUCUGGCCACAUCAUUGCUGAAAUCCGUAAGGCCUUUGGGGUACAACUACAAGAGGCCUAG